AGUGUACAGGUAGACAGCCGGUACGGUAGUGUACAGGUAGACAGCCGGUACAGUAGUGUACAGGUAGACAGCCGGUACAGUAGUGUACAGGUAGACAGCCGGUACAGUAGUGUACAGGUAGACAGCCGGUACAGUAGUGUACAGGUAGACAGCCGGUACAGUAGUGUACAGGUAGACAGCCGGUACAGUAGUGUACAGGUAGACAGCCGGUACAGUAGUGUACAGGUAGACAGCUGGUACAGUAGUGUACAGGUAGACAGCCAGUACAGUAGUGUACAGGUAGACAGCUGGUACAGUAGUGUACAGGUAGACAGCUGGUACAGUAGUGUACAGGUAGACAGCUGGUACGGUGGUGUAUUAGAAUGGACCCACAUGAAUCGUGUCUUGAUGAGGAUUCUCCUCUCCAUAUAUUCUUUAUUCCAAUAAGUUGUUCAGUACACCAUAACGCACAUACAUUAGGCUCAAUUAUGCUUUUGCCCCACAACAAUGUUAUAAAUGAGUUAAACUUAUUUUUCACAAUGUGAAUUUGUAAAUACUUUUUUUAUUUUAUUUUUUUUUUACAACUAACCAAAAUUGUAAUUGGAAAAUAUUAAGACGAAAGAAUAGUGGAAUUUUGUAAGUACAGUAUGUAGCAAUUAUAUAGCGAUAUUCCCCCAAGGUACGGACCGAUAUGGAACAUCCCCUAUCAUGACUUACAGAGUCUUAACCUAUCAUGCAGUCAGUAGAGACAGUAUUCUGUGAUCUGAUUGGUUUAUAAAUGAUGCUCAUUGGUUUCCAUGUAAUUGACGGGGAGAUGAAUAAUAUGUUACGGUGACAGUCACAUAUUAUUGUCACUUCUGUGGUUUUAAAAAAAAAAAAAGAAGAUUUUUUUAUACUUAUUUUGUAUGAAAUAAAAUGUGUACAGUGUAUUCCUUA